rnacentral:tRNA from 1 species
GCCCGGUUAUCUCAAUGGUAGAGUGUCAGACUUUUAAUCUGAAUGUUGUGGGUUCGAGCCCCACAUCGGGCG